UGGGGAAUAUUGGACAAUGGGCGCAAGCCUGAUCCAGCAAUGCCGCGUGUGUGAAGAAGGCCUUCGGGUUGUAAAGCACUUCUAUCAGGAGCGAAACGCUGUCGGCUAAUACCCGGCGGAACUGACAGUACCUGAGGAAUAAGCACCGGCUAACUUCGUGCCAGCAGCCGCGGUAAUACGAAGGGUGCAAGCGUUAAUCGGAAUUACUGGGCGUAAAGCGUGCGUAGGCGGUGACUUAAGUCUGCUGUGAAAUCCCCGGGCUCAACCUGGGAAUGGCAGUGGAUACUGGGUCGCUAGAGUGUGAUAGAGGAUGGUGGAAUUCCCGGUGUAGCGGUGAAAUGCGUAGAGAUCGGGAGGAACAUCAGUGGCGAAGGCGGCCAUCUGGAUCAACACUGACGCUGAGGCACGAAAGCGUGGGGAGCAAACA
rnacentral:rRNA from 1 species